rnacentral:lncRNA from 1 species
GGUCGUCUUCAGUCUCAGGCACUGCCAGAUUGGCUGGUGAUGUGUCUGCUUGUAUUUUUCAGGAAGGAAAAUGAAUGGCAUUGGGAUUCGUAAAUAACCAGUGAAGCUCUGAAAGCUCAGCAUGAAGCUGAGGAGAAGAGCUGCUACAGGCUGUGUUUUUGUGCCAUGGAUGGCACAGAGGCUGGCUGAGGGGCAGUCCCAGAGCACCUUCAAUCUCCUCCUGCAGAUGAGGUGAGUGGGAGCUGCCCCAUAUGGAGGGACCCUGACCUUGUUAUCAGCUCAAAAUACCCUGGGGAUUGUGUGUGAGGUUUGGUUGCACUGUAGUUUGUAUAGUUCUCUCUUAUUACACUCUUUUUCUCCAAGUUUACAGUUGGAAAGGGAGAAGCAGUGCAGGCUUUGGGAUACAUAAAUGUCUUUACUGGACUAUUGCAUAAUGCAAUGCUAUUUGCAUCUAAGGUGUAAAUCUCAGUGAAACAAACUCAUUUCAGAAAGAUUAUAUAUAUGUAGAUUAUUUGCCUCCUAACCCUGUGCGUGUCUUCCUUGCUGCAAUAAAUAAGCAGCGCUGUGUACUACUGCA